CCUACGGGAGGCAGCAGUGGGGAAUAUUGCACAAUGGGGGAAACCCUGAUGCAGCGACGCCACGUGAGUGAAGAAGUAUUUCGGUAUGUAAAGCUCUAUCAGCAGGGAAGAAAAAAGACGGUACCUGACUAAGAAGCCCCGGCUAACUACGUGCCAGCAGCCGCGGCAAUACGUAGGGGGCAAGCGUUAUCCGGAUUUACUGGGUGUAAAGGGAGCGUAGACGGUAUGGCAAGUCUGAAGUGAAAGCCCAGGGCUUAACCCUGGGACUGCUUUGGAAACUGUUAGACUAGAGUGCUGGAGAGGUAAGUGGAAUUCCUAGUGUAGCGGUGAAAUGCGUAGAUAUUAGGAGGAACACCAGUGGCGAAGGCGGCUUACUGGACAGUAACUGACGUUGAGGCUCGAAAGCGUGGGUAUCGAACAGGAUUAGAUACCCCAGUAGUC
rnacentral:rRNA from 1 species